UGGGGAAUAUUGCACAAUGGGCGCAAGCCUGAUGCAGCCAUGCCGCGUGUGUGAAGAAGGCCUUCGGGUUGUAAAGCACUUUCAGCGGGGAGGAAGGCGGUGAGGUUAAUAACCUCACCGAUUGACGUUACCCGCAGAAGAAGCACCGGCUAACUCCGUGCCAGCAGCCGCGGUAAUACGGAGGGUGCAAGCGUUAAUCGGAAUUACUGGGCGUAAAGCGCACGCAGGCGGUUGAUUGAGUCAGAUGUGAAAUCCCCGGGCUUAACCUGGGAACUGCAUCUGAUACUGGCAAGCUUGAGUCUCGUAGAGGGGGGUAGAAUUCCAGGUGUAGCGGUGAAAUGCGUAGAGAUCUGGAGGAAUACCGGUGGCGAAGGCGGCCCCCUGGACGAAGACUGACGCUCAGGUGCGAAAGCGUGGGGAGCAAACAGG
rnacentral:rRNA from 1 species